rnacentral:rRNA from 1 species
UGAGACCUGAUGCCGAGCCGAUUGUGGUGAAGUGGAUGAUCCUAUGCUGUCGAGAAAAGCCUCUAGCGAGUUUCAUGGCGGCCCGUACCCUAAACCGACUCAGGUGGUCAGGUAGAGAAUACCGAGGCGUUCGGGUGAACUAUGGUUAAGGAACUCGGCAAAAUGCCCCCGUAACUUCGGGAGAAGGGGGGCCAUUGCUGGUGAUCCGAUUUACUCGGUGAGCUGGUGGUGGCCGCAGAGACCAGCGAGAAGCGACUGUUUACUAAAAACACAGGUCCGUGCGAAGCCGUAAGGCGAUGUAUACGGACUGACGCCUGCCCGGUGCUGGAACGUUAAGGGGACCGGUUAGUCAACUUUCGGGUUGGCGAAGCUGAGAACUUAAGCGCCAGUAAACGGCGGUGGUAACUAUAACCAUCCUAAGGUAGCGAAAUUCCUUGUCGGGUAAGUUCCGACCUGCACGAAUGGCGUAACGACUUCUCGACUGUCUCAACCAUAGGCCCGGUGAAAUUGCAUUACGAGUAAAGAUGCUCGUUUCGCGCAGCAGGACGGAAAGACCCCGGGACCUUUACUAUAGCUUGAUAUUGGUGUUCGGUUCGGCUUGUGUAGGAU